UUUUAUAUAGUUUAACAAAAACAUUACAUUUUCACUGUAAAAAAAGUACAUAAUUACUUAUAAAAU
rnacentral:tRNA from 1 species